CCCCAACACUGCCAGGGACCAGCAAAUCCGCUUUCUUCCAGUGUGCACAUGACUGAAUGUGCUUCUGUCCAUCAUCUGGGUCAUAUAUAGUUCAAUGCGAGCUGAGCAGACAGGGCUGCAAGGAAAUCUGGCGCGGUUCAAUACCUCAUCUAGUCUGGGUUCCAGUACCUUCUUUUUUUUUUUUCAAACUGACAAACUCAUUUCUCUACUGGGACAGGAUGCUGUGCUGGCUGGGAGUUCCAUUUCUGCAGCAAGAAUCCUAUCUGGAAACACAGAAGUUGUCCUCUAAGCCACAGCAGCUCGAACUUUUUUGAUUGUUGUUGCUGCUUUCUCCCAUCACCCCCACCCCCUUUUGACAAAGAUCCAACUGUAAAAAGUCUUACGUAACAGUUCAGGACUACUUCGGUUCUUUUACUGGUAUAUCAAGAGGCCUCAAGAGGACUAUGAAAACAUUUGCAUCUCCAAGCCAAAGCAUGUGGGUUUCACAAUAUUUCGUAGUAUCUCUGGAAAAGGAAAGAAAGGAGGAUUGCUGUGAGGCCUCAGAGAGAACACAGUGGGAAAUGCGCUGCACACAGGGCACAGCCCAGUGCAUCCUGGUCUGUGAUGGCACUACUCCAUGGCUUAUCGCUACCUUCAGCAGAUAAGAUUCCCUCACUCCCCAAACUCGCACGUACUGGUUAAUCAGAAGCACAUGUUUGCACGUUGUCUAGCGGAGGUUACUAACCUGUAACCUGGGUCUGAAUGCAGGCAUUUUUCUGUAUAUUGUGUCACCAGCCUAGACGGUCCAUCAGAGCCACACUCUAUGUUUGCAUGCUCAGUCGCGUCCGAUUCCUUGCGAUCCCAUAGAUUGUAGCCUGCCAGGUUCCUUUGUCCAUGGGAUUUUCCAGGCAAGAAUACUGGAGUAGGUUGCCAUUCCCUUCUCUCCAGGGGAUCUUCCUUACCCAGAGAUCAAACUGCAUCUUCUGCAUUGGCAGGUGGAUUUACCACUGUGCCACCUGGGAAGCCUCUCUUAUUUAUUUAGAUCUUUUAAACUUUCCACAGAAAUAUUUUAGUUUUUAGUGUACAUAUUUUAUACUUCUUUUGUUAAAUUUAUUCUUAAGUAUUUAAUUCUUUUGAUGUAAUCAUGAAUGGAACUAUUUUCUCCCUUUCAUUUUUUGGAUUGUUGAUAGUUACGAAAAUACAACAGAUUUCGGUAUAUUGAUCUGGUAUUCUGUGACCUUGCUAAACUAAAUUAACUCUAUUUGUUUUGGGGUUUUUUUGUGAAUUGUUUAGGAUUAAACAUAGGAUUAUGUCAUCUAUGAACAAAAACAAUUUUAAUCCUUUCCAAUUUAGAUACAUUCCUCCCUAACCUUCACCUUACUGCACUAGCUAGAACCUCCAGUGAAUGAUGAAAAGAAGUAGUAAGAGCACAUUAUUCCUAAUCUUAGGGGAAAGACAUAUGUAGUUCACCAAUUAAGUAUUAUUAGCUUUAGACUCUUCAUAGAUGUCCCUAGUAAAGUUGUGGAAGCUGCCUUCUACUCCCAGUUUGUUGGCAGAUUUUAUCAUGAAUGAGUACUGAAUUUUGCCAAAUGUUUUUCUUGUGUCUACUCAGAUGAUCAGGCAGGGCUUUUUAACUUUCACUUUAUCAGAAUUAUUUUAUGGCCCAGGACACUCUUAGAAACAGCUUCAUGUGUACUUGAAAACAGUGUAUGUUCUGCAAGGCAUAUUCAAUAAACGUGACCUAUGGUAAGUUGGCUGAUUACUUCUCAAUUCGUUAUAAGCCUAUGGUGGUGGUGGUGGUUGUUGAUAGUCUUAUUCAGCUUUAUAGUUGCUUUUGGGGGGACAAGAUUCGUUCACCUUUUCACUCACUUAUGCCAGAAAAUGAAUCUCUUCCUAUGUUUUCACAAAUCUCACAAGUGAUAAAAUCCUAAUCUUGAUGAAGCCUAACAGUCAGCUUGAAAUCAAAUUUAUUUUCCUAGACCCAAGUGCCAUAAUAAACUGCUCAAACACAACUCAAUCCCAAAAUACACUUGGGAGGAAAAACUUCCUGACGAAGACAGAGGAAGAAAGUCACUCAGGACUACUGAAACGGUUUUCAAAUUCCAAAGGCAACAAUACAGCAACUUGAAUAUCAAAGACCUUUCUUCAGUUCCCACUUUGGAAAGCUGUACCUGUGGGAGCCACGAGUACCAUCUAUGUGUAUAUACAACCUGAACCAGCCCCAGAGCCAGUCAUGCCUAAGAUCUUGGAUCUUAUCAGCAGGUAGGUACCAAACAGGUGUUAUGCAGUGAGUUACACUGAGGGCUACAACCAGUCCUGGCCACUGCAAUUAAGUCCAUUAUAUUUACACUCCCAGCCAAUAACAGGGUGGUUUGAAAGUAUCUUUUCCACUUGCCAAACUUCAAGCACCACCUAAUGCCUGGGUUCUCACUACAGUUCCCAGAUCCCCUCCUCUGCCACCCCAGGGCUAUCAAGUUCCUAAUAAACUAUGCCCCUGAAUUUGCCUCUUUGCACUGUCCCUCAAACAUUAAUACCAGACUUAAUGGGGAGUUUCUACAAUCUCCAUGCUACCUGUUUCCUGACUGAAGCUAUCGUAUCAGAAAUUUCAUCUGCUCUAUUACAUUCUCCUUAGAAUGUACCAGCAACUUCUGCUGAACAGUCAGUGGCCAUAGUCCCAGGUAAACGGAUACCUGGACUCCAAGCUGGGUUUAACUUCUUUCCUGAGUAUUUAAGAUAUGAACACAAAUGUCAGUCUGUGUUGAGCACGGGUGCUAGAAAGAUAAGACAAGUCAGGGCAGAGAAGGGGCAGCCAUUUUCUAUCAUGGACACAGAAGCAAAGAGUUAUCAGUCUGAAGGAGAAGAGAAAUGUGAAACAGAAGCACCAGAGAAACAGCAAUAAGCCUCCACAGAGAUAUUCGAAAAGAAUCCUGAUCUUGCUCCUUCAUGAAAUCCAACUGAAUGCUCCCUCCUUCAUCUCCAAGAGAAACCCUGUAUUCUCCACCAAUAUCCUCAUUUUAAACUAGCUUAAGAAGAGUGUCUUUCUUGCAGCUUAACUACUCCAGUCAACACUCCUGGUUUUCCUCCCUUGCUACCAGUCUAUAUUUCCCAGACACCAACAAUUGUUUACACGUUAGUGUGUUAUUUCACCAUAAUACAGCUUCUUGUGUUCAACUCAUGUUUUUCUGACUCUACCAAGUUUCUUUACAACCCCCUAAGAUGAGAUCAUAUUAUCUAAGCUCUAAAGUUUUCUCUGGUUAUGAUGAAAAGGGCAAUGAAAGGCAGUGUGGUCUUAACCUUUUAGUCUUAGCUUCUCAUCUGGGAACUACCAUCUACUACAUAAGGUUGUGAUGGGAAUUAUAAAAGGUGAGAAUAAAGUGCUUAGUACAGAAUCUGACAUACAGCAAGCCCCACUAAAGGAGCUCUCUUCUGUAAUACCUUGAUUGAACUUGUGCAUACUGAACAAUAGGUAAAAAUCAUAUCACUCAUCAUUAGGAUCUAAAUGGCACCAAGUGUAUCAAGAAAACUAAUCGAGAGUAACUCCUGCUGGGCAGCAUUCUUCUCACAUGACAGCAGUACAUCACUAACGUGUGAGCAGCCGUAUCAACUCCCAAUCAACACCUAUUUCUUCCAAACUUUCUUCCAGUCCCACUGUAUUUUUGAAGCUUUUCAAAUUACCCUGCUAUCUUUCACCUGCAUUUGUAGGAUCAUUUCCACUAAUUUACCAAUGGUGCUUAUGAGGCUUGUUUUUUUAGUGAUAUUUUUUACCCAAAGUAUUUCAAAAGAGAAAACAAAAGUCAAAAAUUGAAACUAACUGGUCAGACUUAACUAAUAAAGCUUAAGAAAAUGUGAUGUAUUUUUGGUGAAAGAUUAUUAAGAGUCAAAAUUAUCAUGACUAUUAGGAAACAGGGAUUAAGGCAUUUUAAUUUUAAAUUUUUGUCUAAUAAAACCUCUCACACAGAGAAAGAGACAGAGAAACAAAGGGAUAGAG